rnacentral:rRNA from 1 species
GAUGAACGCUAGCGGCAGGCCUAAUACAUGCAAGUCGAACGAUGUUUUCCAGCUUGCUGGGAGAGAAAGUGGCGCACGGGUGCGUAACGCGUAUGCAACCUACCUUUAUCAGGGGGAUAGCCCGGAGAAAUCCGGAUUAAUACCGCAUAAAAUCACAGAACGGCAUUGUUCAAUGAUCAAACAUUUAUGGGAUAAAGAUGGGCAUUCGUGUCAUUAGCUAGUUGGCGGGGUAACGGCCCACAAAGGCGACGAUGACUAGGGGAUCUGAGAGGAUGGCCCCCCACACUGGUACUGAGACACGGACCAGACUCCGACGGGAGGCAGCAGUAAGGAAUAUUGGUCAAUGGAGGCAACUCUGAACCAGCCAUGCCGCGUGCAGGAAGACUGCCCUAUGGGUUGUAAACUGCUUUUAUCCGGGAAUAAACCUCCGAUCGUGAUCGGAGCUGAAUGUACCGGAAGAAUAAGGAUCGGCUAACUCCGUGCCAGCCGCCGCAGUAA